UUGUACAUAAAUAGGUGGUAGUCUUUUAAACAAAGAAUGGGAUCAUGCUGUGACCUACACAAUAGAUAACAUUCCAUGUCAGUCUAGUUUUAAGUUUUAAUUUAAGUCCACAUAAAAAUUAAUGAAGUACUAUCUCGAAUAGAUGAAGGGAAAAGAAGAAUGGACUUUAUGGGUACAGUUCUAUGGAUUUUAGUACUUGUGUGACCACUGCCACAAUCAGGAAGUAGUCUAUUGUGAAACUUCAUCACUAGUUAUACUAGUGAAUAAUAGUAAUACUGUUACUCAGCUUGAUUAAUGUUCAUUUGUAUUUAUUUCACAACAGACACAUUUUUGUAUUUGGUUGGGUAAAAUCGAAUGUUCAAUUUUAUGCUCAACUGAAUGUGAUACGAUUUGGUAGUGCUUGUUACUUCACUAUAUAAACAUAAAAGCGCCACAUAUACGUAAAAGCACACCUUAUUGUAUAACCGUGGAACAGUACUGAUAAUUGACUUAUUGUUGAGAAUUUUUGUUUAUAGAAUUACAGUUUUAUCUUGACAUUGCCUUUUCUAAAAAGCUGGUACUGUAACUUUUGGGUAAUUAGAAGCUAAUGCUUCUAAUACUUUAAAUAUUUGGUAAAGUUAAUGGGGAUACUUAAUGGUAUGAAUAUGAUGAAUGACAGUUGAAAGAAAUUACAGGAGGUGUCUCUACAACUUUCUGCUCCUUUAAAUUUAUUAUUCUAUGUGUUUCAGAUUUCAUGUUUCAAGUGCUUGCAAAGAAUCUCAAGUAUAUGUACAUGCUCUAUCUGAUGCUCGAUGUGUGUUUGACAUGGCUGGAGAAAUUGGCUUUACGAUGAACAUGUU
rnacentral:sRNA from 1 species